rnacentral:rRNA from 1 species
UGACGUUAGCGGCGGACGGGUGAGUAACACGUGGAUAACCUACCUAUAAGACUGGGAUAACUUCGGGAAACCGGAGCUAAUACCGGAUAACAUAUUGAACCGCAUGGUUCAAUAGUGAAAGGCGGCUUUGCUGUCACUUAUAGAUGGAUCCGCGCCGUAUUAGCUAGUUGGUAAGGUAACGGCUUACCAAGGCAACGAUACGUAGCCGACCUGAGAGGGUGAUCGGCCACACUGGAACUGAGACACGGUCCAGACUCCUACGGGAGGCAGCAGUAGGGAAUCUUCCGCAAUGGGCGAAAGCCUGACGGAGCAACGCCGCGUGAGUGAUGAAGGUCUUCGGAUCGUAAAACUCUGUUAUCAGGGAAGAACAAAUGUGUAAGUAACUGUGCACAUCUUGACGGUACCUGAUCAGAAAGCCACGGCUAACUACGUGCCAGCAGCCGCGGUAAUACGUAGGUGGCAAGCGUUAUCCGGAAUUAUUGGGCGUAAAGCGCGCGUAGGCGGUUUUUUAAGUCUGAUGUGAAAGCCCACGGCUCAACCGUGGAGGGUCAUUGGAAACUGGAAAACUUGAGUGCAGAAGAGGAAAGUGGAAUUCCAUGUGUAGCGGUGAAAUGCGCAGAGAUAUGGAGGAACACCAGUGGCGAAGGCGACUUUCUGGUCUGUAACUGACGCUGAUGUGCGAAAGCGUGGGGAUCAAACAGGAUUAGAUACCCUGGUAGUCCACGCCGUAAACGAUGAGUGCUAAGUGUUAGGGGGUUUCCGCCUCUUAGUGCUGCAGCUAACGCAUUAAGCACUCCGCCUGGG